rnacentral:rRNA from 1 species
UACGUAGGGGGCAAGCGUUGUCCGGAUUUAUUGGGCGUAAAGAGCGUGUAGGCGGCCAGGUAGGUGGGUUGUGAAAACUGGAGGCUCAACCUUCAGACGUCGACCCAAACCCCCCUGGCUAGAGUCCGGAAGAGGCGAGUGGAAUUCCUGGUGUAGCGGUGAAAUGCGCAGAUAUCAGGAGGAACACCAAUUGCGAAGGCAGCUCGCUGGGACGUUACUGACGCUGAGACGCGAAAGCGUGGGGAGCAAACAGG